GACGAACGCUGGCGGCGUGCCUAAUACAUGCAAGUAGAACGCACAGUUUAUACCGUAGCUUGCUACGCCAUAGACUGUGAGUUGCGAACGGGUGAGUAACGCGUAGGUAACCUGCCUGGCAGCGGGGGAUAACUAUUGGAAACGAUAGCUAAUACCGCAUAAUAUUAAUUAUUGCAUGAUAAUUAAUUGAAAGGUGCAAUUGCACCACUACCAGAUGGACCUGCGUUGUAUUAGCUAGUAGGGGAGGUAACGGCUCACCUAGGCGACGAUACAUAGCCGACCUGGGAGGGUGAUCGGCCACACUGGGACUGAGACCCGGCCCAGACUCCUACGGGAGGCAGCAGUAGGGAAUCUUCGGCAAUGGACGAAAGUCUGACCGAGCAACGCCGCGUGAGUGAAGAAGGUUUUCGGAUCGUAAAGCUCUGUUGUAAGAGAAGAACGGGUGUGAGAGUGGAAAGUUCACACUGUGACGGUAUCUUACCAGAAAGGGACGGCUAACUACGUG
rnacentral:rRNA from 1 species